UACGGAGGAUGCGAGCGUUAUCCGGAUUUAUUGGGUUUAAAGGGUGCGUAGGCGGAGUGCCAAGUCAGCGGUAAAAAUUCGGGGCUCAACCCCGUCGUGCCGUUGAAACUGGUGGUCUUGAGUGGAUGAGAAGUACGCGGAAUGCGUGGUGUAGCGGUGAAAUGCAUAGAUAUCACGCAGAACUCCGAUUGCGAAGGCAGCGUACCGGCAUCCAACUGACGCUGAGGCACGAAAGCGUGGGGAUCAAACAGG
rnacentral:rRNA from 1 species